rnacentral:lncRNA from 1 species
CACGUAUUGACUCACAGCACAGAGAUGAGGGAACCCCACAGCUCUGCACCUGAGAUGCUCUACCUGCCAGCUUUGGCCAUAGCUGUGGUAUAAGGCAACUGCACUUCUAUUCUACAAACAAGAGUAACACGUAGAGAUUCCAGGCCACUGCUUCCUCACAGUGCAUGUUUAUUUAAGCCCUAGCCCAAACAGGGCAGAAUUGCACCACCCAGGCUGGCAGCUGCCUCUCACACAGCAAUCUGCACCAGAGCGCGCUAACAGCUGCUUCCAUGGAACAGUCACCACCGCACAGGUGAUGCAGUGCUUCCAUAGCAGCCACCCACAGCUCGGAUGCUCUCCUUCAGUAAAAGGAAAUGCUUUGCUCAAAAGGCCAAAGCCACAGACAGCUGAGAAAGCGCUCCAAGGAAGUACAGCCACGUUCCUGCAGGGCAGGAACACAGCACUGGGCUACAUGAGCCUUCCAUGUGCCUCGUGCUGCCAUUCUCACGCCUAGUAAUUAAAUAAGUCAUGAUCA